rnacentral:misc_RNA from 1 species
GAAACUGCCCAGGAACGACUUGCUUUGACGACAGAAGUCAACAGUGUCUUUUUACCUGUGAUAAUGAUGAUUAAGAUAUGUAAAACAUCUAACUUCUAAAUUAUUCAAGUUUUUCACGUAUUCUCUGCAAAUCUCUCCAAUUUGCAACCUUUUUCCUAAAACGUAACUGCAUUAUACAGCCCUGUAAAUUUGUUUACAUUAAAUUGCGCAAUAUGUUAUACAGAAGACAAUAGAUCAGAUAGAUUGAUCGUGUAUUGAUCUUUGAAGAAUGUGUAAUGUAUUGCAUAUUGAUUGUCAUAAAUGUUUGAGUUCAAGUAGAGCGUGUACUUUGUGAGAAAUUCGGAUUACAAAAUGUGAUCUAUAAAUAAAAAUAACAUAAAACGUAAAUUGUGAACAAUUAUAACAGAAUUUUGAUGAAGUGCGUUAUAAGUAUCACAUUUGUAUAAUGUAUUUUCUAAAACCAAAUUGUGGUAUUUUUAUAUCUGAAUACCAUUGACUUGGUGCAAUAUGUUAUGAUUAAGGAUACCUGUACCAUGAUAUACCUGCUUCUUUUCAAACUCGAACUCUAGAAUUUGACCAUUAAGAAGAUUUUAUUUGAUAUUCACUUAUAUAAAUAUUUUCGUUUGUUAAAAAAUGAUAUUUAGGAAUAUAUUGAUAGAAUUAUAAAUACCUGUACUAAGUCUUAAAGAAUUUCUUAACCAUGUCAUUCAUACUGAAGGUUUGCUUUGUUUCAAUAUGGAUCUAAAGUGAACAUUUGCGAAAAUGUUUUUGCAAAUUUGUGCAAUUGUGCAAUCAAAAUGAUGAUUUAAAAUUUUUGAAAACAAAAAUAAAACGAAGGAGGAUAUUUCAUUUCAUGGAUGUAAAAGCGAUAUUGAUUGUAAAGGGAGGGUAUGUUUUUGUUUCAUUAUCAAAUAAAAUUCUUAUUAUCUU